rnacentral:lncRNA from 1 species
UUUUUGGCCUUAAUUUCUGGGCAAAACAAACGAUUUUCUGAAAGUCAUUUCCUAUUCCUAUCUCUUGUAGGAUGCUCCCUAAUAUUUCUUCCAUAGGUUUCAGCAUUUCACAUUGAGUUCUUUGAUUCACUUAGGGCUUUGACCAGGGUGAUAUAUACAGUUCUAAUUUCAUUCUAUAUGGCAACAUCUAGCUUUCCCAGCAUUGAAGAUGCUAUCUUUUGUCCUCUGUGGGAUUUUGGCAUCUUUGUUGUAAUGGAGGUCUGGCAGCUGUCUUGGAGAUUGCUAAUUUAUUCCUUGGCAUGAACAAAGAAUUGAGUGACUAGGAAAGACAGAAGACCAAUUUGAAGAUAAGGGAAAAUUUACAGCUUUAUCCUGUCAGGAUGGGCAAAACCUAAGGCUUAAAGUCCAUUAAACAGAGGCGGACUUGGAUACUUUAUAGCAAUAUAGUUGGAGCAAAGUGACUAAGACAUACCUGCCUCAGCGAUAGACACUGACUGCUGUUGGAGGGAGGUGCUGACUGCUCUACUUACUUCCUGCUUAGAGGAAACGGAAUCUAGAGAUAAAUAUAGCUCUCACUCCUCAUCAAAGAAGUGUAUUCUUGCAGAAAACAGACAAUUUCAGAGAACUGCACCUAGUCAAAAUGCAGCGAACAACUGAAUGUAAGGUGCCCAACCACCUCUCAAGUUCAUGGAACAUCAUAGAAGGAUGGAAAGAUUUAAAGAGCCAGAGAACCAGUAAGUUUACUGUAAGAUUGUGUCUACUAGAAGUGAAAGGGAAGCUAUACCAUUAAACCUCAAAAAUAUGCUUGCCAAAAAGGACUUGAAUAGUGGUCACACCAAUAGGCAUGCUUACUUUGAAGGAGGAAAUCUCAUGGGACCCCACCCCUAGACAAAGAACUACAGGUAAUGACUACAGAUAGUAACUGCUAGAAAAGGGAGAAUUCAUCUCCCCCCAGGGAUGAGCCCUUAAAUUGGUUAUCUACAAGUUAUCAACACUGGAAAAUCACACACACACAUGCACACACACACCAUUGAAUAGAUUCAGAAGAUUGUCUUUAUAUAUUUAUAUGUGUAUACAUAUAUGUCUAUAUAUUAAGGAAUGAUAAUUAAAGAAAAAGAGGACAUGGAUUUGAGAGAGAGUGAGCUAGGGCAGACAUGAGAGGUCUAGAAUGAGGAGAAGGAAAUUAUGUCAUUAUAUUAGAUCUUUAAAAAAAUUAUAGAAAAGAAAAAAGCAUUAUAGACGUGGCUCUCAUCUCCUGCAUUGCUUUUUGGUCUUUC